rnacentral:misc_RNA from 1 species
CAUACAACCAGAACCGCGAGCGGACAUGUUGGGGUCGGUAAAUGUAACCGAUUGCUGUUAAUGUGACGUCCAUUACUCGUGAGAUUCUCUCUAAAAGAGAUACAGUUAUCAAACCAUGUUCGUGUGGGUCCGUGAAUCACGUGAAUCAGGAUUUCUCUUCUUCAUCUUCGUCUGCGCUAGUACUAUAAUUAUCAAAGAUACCUAUGGAUUAGGAUCUAUAUACUUUUCCCCGUCAACACCUCCUACGCACAUUACAGAAGGAGGAACUAUCGGUGUGACCUGUAAAUCUACAAGUUGCGAUUCAUCUUGUUCUUUCCGUUGGAGUCGGCCAGGUCAACAAAGUCUAGAUGGCUCUCAGUUGACAGUAAGAGACAUAAGAAGAAGUCAAGCAGGAACUUAUACAUGUACUGUAUCUGAUUCUUCGGAUAUCAAAACGAAGAGGUUUGGGCUGAACGUCUAUUAUGGCCCAGACUCUGUACCAUUCAGCCUAUCAUCUCCCCACCACAUCAAAGAAGGAAACGACCUCACGGUGAGCUGUGCUACUUCUUGUAGUCCAAGCUGCAACUAUGCCUGGACGAUGGGGAGGCAGCAGAAAGCAACAAGUUCUGCGCUGACAAUACCAAACAUAAGUCGAGAUCAGGCAGGAACCUACACAUGUACUAUAACUAACACUGGCACCUCGACGACAAAGAACAAACAGUUUCAGCUGAAUGUUGACUAUGGCCCAGACUCCGUAACUUUCAGCUCGACACCACCAGAGCACAUCAACGAAGGUGACAGUCUUCGAGUGGCGUGUACUGCUGAAUGUAAACCAGGCUGCUCUUAUUCUUGGACAUUUGGGAAUCAGCAGAUUGGAACAGAUCCUGUAAAGCUAAUUCCAAGCAUUGGACGAGAUCAGUCAGGAACUUACACAUGCAUUGUUACCAACACCGCUACCCGGGACAGAAAAAGAAAGAUGUUUUCGCUGGACGUUUAUUACCAGCAGCAAAUCACGUCCCUCACAUUGAACUCACAACCUUCUGGAGUGACAGUCACUGAGCGGACUGUUGUGACUCUGCGGUGCGUGGUGGAUAGUAACCCGGUCUCUGACAUCAAACUCUUCAACGGCUCGUACCCCAUCCACGAGGUAUUCAACUCCAGCACCACCGAGUAUAGUUUGGGGCAAGUCGAGUGUUUAGACACCGGAGAGUAUAGAUGCAAGGGCAGAAAUAGAAUAUGGCAUGCCGUCUCCAGAACUGUGAAGCUCGACGUGACGUGCUCACCGAAGAUAGACCAUCGCGUUCCAUUCCAGGGUACAUUUCACGCAGCAUUAUUGAGUGACGCCACUCUGAGUGUACCCAUUAUAGCAAACCCGCCAGCACAAUGUAGAUGGUUCAGACUACAGGACAAUGGAGACAGACGCUUGCUCGGAACCAGCCGUCCAGAAGUGGUGUCUGCUGCAUCUGGUAUUGGGAAGUUCACGCUGAGGAAUGCUCAACUCGAAGACUUUGGCAGCUACCAGGUGGUUGUGUCCAACGGUGGUAAACCAGGCGAUCUCGUGCUGAACCUGACGCUCACUGCACAAGGCCCUCCAAGUAUUCCAUCUCAGUUCAAGGCGUGGAGCGACGAUCCACACUCGAUGCGUCUGUCGUGGAUGGAGGAAUUUAACGGAGGGGCAGCGCAGCUGUUUCUGGUUCACUACCGGAAACACAAGACCAAGGAGUCGGCGAACCGCACCGGACGCUACACGGAGAAAGGUCUGCACGCCAAACACACGGCGGUGAUACCUCAACUACAACCAACCACUCGCUAUCUCGUCAAGGUGCUGGCGUAUAACGUGUAUGGAUACAAGGACUUUACUGUGGAACUUGGGGUUGUCACCGCUGCCAUGCCAGAUCCAUUAAACUCAGCAGGCGUGGGGGUAGCCAUUGGGUUGGCCAUAGCUGUUGUCUUGGCGCUCAUUUUUGGAGCAAUUUUCCUCGUUUACCGACGUAUUAAAACAGGUAGUGUAAAUCUAUCAAGCUCUCGCAAAUCCAGUAUGUUUCAUAUUGAAGUCGAAAAUGAUGAUCCUCUGGAAAAACAAAGUACCACUGUGGAUGAUUUGGAAACAAUUUCAAAUCUGAGUUCUUCCGCUGGAACAACGCUAGAGCCUGAAAACGAAGGGAUCAGCAAUUCUGACAGCAAAACGCAGCCACAACAAGGUGAGACUUCGGGCAAGCAGUUGUCACGGACAUCAAACCCGUAUGCUGCACUCGGGACCAGAGAGCAAAAUGUGUAUGAAGGUCUUGGAGAUCCGAACAAAAAAGGUGAGACGCAGGACAAGAAACUGCCACAUGAAUCGAACCCGUAUUCUGCACUUGGAGCCAGAGAGGAAAACCUGUAUGAGGGUCUUGGAGACCAGAACAAAACAGACAACCAGCCGUCAGAGACACCAAAGCCGGAUGCAGAACCCGGGACCCCAGAGCAAAACCCUUAUGAUGAUCUUGAAGACCCCAGUAAGAAAGGUGAGGCGCUGGAAAACCCGUCACAGAAAUCGAACACUUUUGCUUCCGUUGGCAACAACGAGGAAACUCACUACGAAGAUCAUCAAGUCCAGCUUUAACAAGAUGAACAAGAGUGGUGAUGGUGAUGCUAGCAAUGCUGGUGAACAAUAUUUUCCCCGCUUUGAGUAACCGCUGGGGUAAUAAAAGUAUAUAGAAGACCACCAUACUAUUGAGGUAAAUAUUUACGUUUUUGAUGAAAAAGCGCAGACAGCAUUCAACAUGUAACGAUCAAAGUCCGUUCUAUUAA